CCUACGGGAGGCAGCAGCCGGGAAUCUUCCGCAAUGGGGGAAACCCUGACGGAGCGACGCCGCGUGAGGGAAGAAGCCCUUCGGGGUGUAAACCUCUUUUCCUGGGGAAGAAGCUGACGGUACCCAGGGAAUAAGCCCCGGCUAACUACGUGCCAGCAGCCGCGGUAAU
rnacentral:rRNA from 1 species